rnacentral:miRNA from 1 species
UAAAGAUUGACAAGCUGGCGUAGC